AAUUACUUAACAAUGGCAUGUAUGCACCUGUUGGGUACUACAGAACUUCUCAAACCUUGGAAUCAGAUUAGACACCACCACCCUUGUUUCCUGUUCUAAAUUGAUGUUUCCAAGUCAUGCUUGCUUAUUUUUUAUCACAGCAAUCGCUGACAACUCAGCUUCACAAGAUACUAAAUUGUUACUGUGGCGUCUGCCUCCAGCGCAGCCAGUUAGCUACCAAAGGAGGCACCCCCGUGCCAAGAACGCCCCCUGCGGACCGCUCAGGACACACUUCCAGGGUGGGAGGGGCGUGUAAGAGUGGAAGCGCAGGCCCGGGGCUGCAGUGUUGGAGGAGGAGGUCAUCCAGAGGACGUGACCGCUGGUUGACCCAGAGCUGGAUUGGUAAUCAGAAGUUCCCCACCCUUCCGCUCUCCGUGGAAUGUACCUUCCGCCCACCAGUUCCACGGCGGGGUCGCUUUUCGAGGGCACAGCCUUGAGGGCACAACGUGUUGUUUAGACCGUCUAGAUGGUAUACGUGGCUGAACCCCGUUAAGGCCUCUAUAAACGGUCUGGUCUUACGGCUGCUGAAGACAAGCCUCGGAAUCUCAAACUGUAUUUUGAGUAAAGCCAAGAAGCCACGGGAGUGAAAGAAUAACGUGUGGGCUCCAAAUGCAUUUCUAAGAUGUCAAGCUUGUUGACUGGAAGCCUGCCUGCCAGAACAAGAUCCUUCUGCGAACACCAGAAACAAUCUGCUAUUGUCUCCUGGGAUGAAACGGUGCCAAUAAAGAAUGAAAACUCUGAGCCAA